GCUUGAGUCUUGUAGAGGGGGGUAGAAUUCCAGGUGUAGCGGUGAAAUGCGUAGAGAUCUGGAGGAAUACCGGUGGCGAAGGCGGCCCCCUGGACAAAGACUGACGCUCAGGUGCGAAAGCGUGGGGAGCAAACAGGAUUAGAUACCCUGGUAGUCCACGCCGUAAACGAUGUCUACUUGGAGGUUGUGCCCUUGAGGCGUGGCUUCCGGAGCUAACGCGUUAAGUAGACCGCCUGGGGAGUACGGCCGCAAGGUUAAAACUCAAAUGAAUUGACGGGGGCCCGCACAAGCGGUGGAGCAUGUGGUUUAAUUCGAUGCAACGCGAAGAACCUUAC
rnacentral:rRNA from 1 species